rnacentral:misc_RNA from 1 species
GUAGGUGAACCUGCGGAAGGAUCAUUAACACGUGAUACUCACGUAUUAGCCCAUCGCGAAUUUGUUAUCUGUCCCGUGGUCGUGUAUUUGCAGUGGCAAGAGAGGGAAGGGUGUGGAUCACGUUCGCGUGGUUCUAACUCACUUGUCUAGCCGUCCGACGGCAAGCUCGUAUCGAUCAUGGUAGAUGAACGCCGUCAGCCUUAAAGCCUGCACCUUGGCCGGUUGUCCGCGUGACCCCCUAACCAUAUUA